UCCCAGGGAAAGACCUUUCCCAGCCUGAGU
rnacentral:piRNA from 1 species